UUGAAACGCGUAAUGCAUUCCCCCGAUACCACUAUAUAAUUCUAGCACUCUCAUGAUUAAUGAUUCAUUUGAAAUUUCUUAAUUAUAGAUAUUCUGGCACGUAUGUUGUUAAUUGUCAAUAAACUCAUCUGCUCUAGUAUCGACGUGUUUUCAUCGUUCUUUGACAACUUUGUUUCAUACGUAUUGAAAUAAUAACGGCAACUGACAACGAAGUAACCUAACAUGUGAUUCCAUAGUCCGUUCAGUAAUGGAGGCUGGGCUACGUUUUGCGUCGCGCAAAAUUCUACGUGUGUGAUCUAACAUUACCUCGAAAAACUGUUUAUGGUACGAGAAAAAAAUGUAUAAGAAAA